UACGUAGGGUGCAAGCGUUGUCCGGAAUUUAUUGGGCGUAAAGAGCUCGUAGGCGGUUUGUUGCGUCGGCUGUGAAAUCCCGAGGCUCAACCUCGGGUCUGCAGUCGAUACGAGCAAACUAGAGUGUUGCAGGGGAGACUGGAAUUCCUGGUGUAGCGGUGAAAUGCGCAGAUAUCAGGAGGAACACCGGUGGCGAAGGCGGAUCUCUGGGCCGUAACUGACGCUGAGGAGCGAAAGCAUGGGGAGCGAACAGG
rnacentral:rRNA from 1 species